UACGGAGGGUGCGAGCGUUGUCCGGAAUCACUGGGCGUAAAGGGCGCGUAGGCGGCGCGGGAAGUCAACGGUGAAAGCUCGGAGCUCAACUCCGAGUCGGCCGUCGAUACUCCCGUGCUUGAGCACUGUAGAGGCAGAUGGAAUUCCGGGUGUAGCGGUGGAAUGCGUAGAGAUCCGGAAGAACACCGGUGGCGAAGGCGGUCUGCUGGGCAGUAGCUGACGCUGAUGCGCGACAGCGUGGGGAGCAAACAGG
rnacentral:rRNA from 1 species